GUCUUUUCGGAGACAUCCUAUAAAAUUAGAACAAUACAGUGCAGAUUAGCACGGGUCUGUGCAAGAAUUAUAGGCACAAAUUGAGAAAUUGUUCAAUUUUUU